rnacentral:rRNA from 1 species
GAUGAACGCUAGCGGCAGGCCUAACACAUGCAAGUCGAGGGAGAAGCCCUUUCGGGGGCAGAAACCGGCGCACGGGUGCGUAACGCGUAUGCAACCUACCUUUCACAGGGGGAUAGCCCGAAGAAAUUUGGAUUAAUACCCCAUAAUAUUAUUGGAUGGCAUCAUUUGAUAAUUAAAACUGCGGUGGUGAAAGAUGGGCAUGCGUCCUAUUAGCUAGUUGGAGUGGUAACGGCACCCCAAGGCUACGAUAGGUAGGGGUCCUGAGAGGGAGAUCCCCCACACUGGUACUGAGACUGGGACCAGACUCCUACGGGAGGCAGCAGUGAGGAAUAUUGGUCAAUGGUCGGAAGACUGAACCAGCCAUGCCGCGUGCAGGAAGAAUGCCUUAUGGGUUGUAAACUGCUUUUAUAUGGGAAGAAUAAGGCGUACGUGUACGUUGAUGACGGUACCAUAUGAAUAAGCAUCGGCUAACUCCGUG